rnacentral:rRNA from 1 species
GUGGGGAAUCUUGCGCAAUGGGCGAAAGCCUGACGCAGCCAUGCCGCGUGAAUGAUGAAGGUCUUAGGAUUGUAAAAUUCUUUCACCGGGGACGAUAAUGACGGUACCCGGAGAAGAAGCUCCGGCUAACUUCGUGCCAGCAGCCGCGGUAAUACGAAGGGGGCUAGCGUUGCUCGGAAUUACUGGGCGUAAAGGGCGCGUAGGCGGACAGCUUAGUCAGAGGUGAAAGCCCAGGGCUCAACCUUGGAAUUGCCUUUGAUACUGGCUGUCUUGAGUACGGGAGAGGUGAGUGGAACUCCGAGUGUAGAGGUGAAAUUCGUAGAUAUUCGGAAGAACACCAGUGGCGAAGGCGACUCACUGGCCCGUUACUGACGCUGAGGCGCGAAAGCGUGGGGAGCAAACAGGAUUAGAUACCCGUGUAGUCC